rnacentral:rRNA from 1 species
CAGUCGCCGCGGGAAUACGUAGGGUGCAAGCGUUGUCCUGAAUUAUUGGGCGUAAAGAGCUCGUAGGCGGUUUGUCGCGUCUGCUGUGAAAUCCCGAGGCUCAACCUCGGGCUUGCAGUGGGUACGGGCAGACUAGAGUGCGGUAGGGGAGAUUGGAAUUCCUGGUGUAGCGGUGGAAUGCGCAGAUAUCAGGAGGAACACCGAUGGCGAAGGCAGAUCUCUGGGCCGUAACUGACGCUGAGGAGCGAAAGCGUGGGGAGCGAACAGGAUUAGAUACCCGUGUAGUCCCUGUCUCUUAUAA